rnacentral:rRNA from 1 species
CGGUUUCGAUGAAGUUUUCGGAUGGAUUUGAAAUCGACUUAGCGGCGGACGGGUGAGUAACGCGUGGGUAACCUGCCUUACACUGGGGGAUAACAGUUAGAAAUGACUGCUAAUACCGCAUAAGCGCACAGGGCCGCAUGGUCUGGUGUGAAAAACUCCGGUGGUGUAAGAUGGACCCGCGUCUGAUUAGGUAGUUGGUGGGGUAACGGCCCACCAAGCCGACGAUCAGUAGCCGACCUGAGAGGGUGACCGGCCACAUUGGGACUGAGACACGGCCCAAACUCCUACGGGAGGCAGCAGUGGGGAAUAUUGGACAAUGGGCGAAAGCCUGAUCCAGCGACGCCGCGUGAGUGAAGAAGUAUUUCGGUAUGUAAAGCUCUAUCAGCAGGGAAGAAAAUGACGGUACCUGACUAAGAAGCCCCGGCUAACUACGUGCCAGCAGCCGCGGUAAUACGUAGGGGGCAAGCGUUAUCCGGAUUUACUGGGUGUAAAGGGAGCGUAGACGGUUAAGCAAGUCUGAAGUGAAAGCCCGGGGCUCAACCCCGGUACUGCUUUGGAAACUGUUUGACUUGAGUGCAGGAGAGGUAAGUGGAAUUCCUAGUGUAGCGGUGAAAUGCGUAGAUAUUAGGAGGAACACCAGUGGCGAAGGCGGCUUACUGGACUGUAACUG